rnacentral:lncRNA from 1 species
GGCCGUGCCGCCCGGCACAGCGUCAGCCUGCGCCAGGUGCCGGCCCUCGACUGCAAGCUGCCAGUUCGGCCGCUCGGCUCCUGGCGCUGCCGGCUCCGCACCGCCGCGUCUCGUCCCCAGGGUCGUCGCCGCUGCGCCCCGGGAGCGCUGACUGCCCUGGGCCGCUGUCGAGCUCGGGCAGGGCGGAGCCAAAAUGUCCCCGGAGUCCAAAAAGCUCUUCAACAUCGUCAUCCUCGGAGUCGCCUUUAUGUUUAUGUUCACCGCCUUUCAAACUUGUGGCAACGUGGCGGUGAGUCGGCGCCUGCCUCCUGCUUGCAGUGCCUGUCCCUGCGACCCCGAAAGCAAAACGCCAGUCGUGUCCGGUGGCGCGCACAGGGCCCCUUCUCUCUUCCCACCUGCCGCCCCGUCUUCCGUGGUUAGGUUUGAUUUCACGGGCCACACUCUGCUCCUUCACGGGGUGCUUCACGUUCCCUUUGUUUCUCAGUUCGACUUUGUUUGGGGUGUCGACCCUCGUUUUUUGUUCCUUGCCUUUGUGAAGCUCCACCUUAGUACUGGGAUGGUCAAGGUGAUAGAACCCUAAGCACAGGUACCCCUGGUUACCUCCGGCCCCUUUAGUUAGUGUGCAACUCCAGCUGUCCUACUCCUCCUCUCAUAGUGGACUGUGAAUUUUGACAGUUUCUCCUUAGUGCAUUGUGAAUUUUGACAGUUUUUCCUUCUGAGUGCGUGGAAUUGGACUUUCCAAGGGGGAGGGAGAUUGCAAAAC